AUUUAAGAAAAGUCCACUCUCCAUAUCACUAUUGAAUAGAAGGUAAAAGGUGCUCACUCCACCGUGACAGCUCUGGUUUGGCCUCCCAAACGGCAGAGAUAAAUGUGUCUGCUUAUAACUCGCUUAGCCUGAGUCCAGGGCAGUAGGUGGAGCCUGAAAGUAGUCUUUCACCUGGACACGUGAUUAAAAAUUCACCCAACAGCAGAAGCAGGUAGCCCUGAAGAAUUUGCUACAUGUUUUAUUUUUAGGAGGCGAUUUCAUCAGAUCAUAUUUUUCUUCUGAGGGCUUUGAAGUUCCAUGAAGCUGAUAAAAAUCUAUUUGAAUCAGUGAUUAUGUUCAAAGAGGAGACGAACAGGAGGCCAGACAGGCCUUUGUUCAGAUUGGCAGUCUCUUUCGCUUAUCUGCUGUUUUCAAGAAUUCAUAAUUAGCUUUUGGAAGUACUGAUAGUAUUUAUUGAAGGUUUUUCUUUCUUUUCCAAUUACUAAUGAAUUUUACUUGUAAACUCUUUCUGGAAUAUUAAAAAGGUUUAGGAAUUCAUCAGCAAGUUCACUCUUUAAUUGAAAACAUUGGAAUUCUCACAACUGUUGUGGAAUGACGACGCAGAAUAAGUUCACAUUUUCACGUACAGAGCACAUGCUGAACGGUUUGACGACACAGUACAAUGAAAAGCAGCUUCUCAUUUCCCAUGAGAUCGGUAUCCACGAGUUGCGGGUAACUCACUGUGUAACAUACAAAAUCCAGGUUCUUUUUGGAAACACGAAUGACUGAUGAUUUUAAUUUUGUUCAACAAAUUUAUUGAGCACCUGUAGGGCACAAUAUUGAUGUAUGUUAGUCAGCGAUAGAAAGCAUGGUACACGAUGACUGUGAGAUGUUGUAUUUUUAGCAUGAAGAAGAGUUUUGAUCAGAGAGCUUUCUUACUCUCCACCAUGGGGGAUUACUACAAAUGACCUUGACCUAAUGUGACAAUCUGAGCUAGAUUUUCAAGCAUGAGAAACAGGAAACAGGACCACAUACAUCUUGAAUUCAUAAAUGCAGCUGCUCAAGUCACCGCAGCCUGAACAGGACCAAAGCGUACAUUCCCAAAUUGUAAUUCUCAUGGCAUUCGUUUCGCGUCCAGAAUGUUCUCAAGUGACGUCAUUUUUUGGAAAGUAAUUAACACGUUCUAAUCAAACAUUUUCUAAUAAUAUUUUCAAGCAUUUCCACCAGGGGGCACUCCCCUCAUUGAAAGCCUGGGCC
rnacentral:lncRNA from 1 species